UACGGGGGGGGGCAAGCGUUGUUCGGAAUUACUGGGCGUAAAAGGGCUCGUAGGUGGCCAACUAAGUCAGACGUGAAAUCCCUCGGCUUAACCGGGGAACUGCGUCUGAUACUGGAUGGCUUGAGUUCGGGAGAGGGAUGCGGAAUUCCGAGGUGUAGCGGUGAAAUGCGUAGAUAUCUGGAGGAACACCGGUGGCGAAGGCGGCAUCCUGGACCGACGACUGACACUGAGGAGCGAAAGCCAGGGGAGCAAACGGG
rnacentral:rRNA from 1 species